GUCGCGGGUGCCUCCA
rnacentral:rRNA from 3 species